SRCAGUGGGGAAUUUUGGACAAUGGGGGCAACCCUGAUCCAGCCAUGCCGCGUGAGUGAAGAAGGCCUUCGGGUUGUAAAGCUCUUUCAGGUGGAAAGAAAUCACUACCCYKAAUACSGGUGGUGWAUGACGGUACCMUCAGAAKAAGCACCGGCUAACUWCGUGCCAGCAGCCGCGGUAAUACGUAGGGUGCGAGCGUUAAUCGGAAUUACUGGGCGUAAAGCGUGCGCAGGCGGUUGUGUAAGWCAGGUGUGAAAUCCCCGGGCUYAACCUGGGAACUGCRCUUGWGACUGCACAGCUAGAGURYGKCAGAGGGGGGUGGAAUUCCMCGUGUAGCRGUGAAAUGCGUAGAGAUGUGGAGGAACACCGAUGGCGAAGGCRGCCCCCUGGGCCUGYACUGACGCUCAKGCACGAAAGCGUGGGGAGCAAACAGGAUUAGAUACCCUGGUAGUCCACGCCCUAAACGAUGUSRACUAGUUGUUSGGAGAGGAAACUUUCUSRGUAACGCAGCUAACGCGUGAAGUCGACCGCCUGGG
rnacentral:rRNA from 1 species